CGGGUCGCGGCAGAGAUGGCGGAGCCGGGUGAUGCCGGGGCUGCGGCCUCGGGCUCGGGUCUGAAGCGGCUGGCAGCGGCCGGGGACCUGCGGAGCGUGCUGAUCACCAGCGUGCUCAACCUGGAGCGCCUCGAGGUCGACCUCUUCAGGGGUCAGCACCACUGGGUGCCCGUGACGAGGCGCCUUUUCGGCGGGCAGAUCGUGGGCCAGGCCCUGGUGGCAGCCGCCCGUGCCGUCAGCCGUGACCUCCAGGCCCACUCGCUGCACUGCUACUUCGUGCGCGCAGGGGACCCCAAGGUGCCGGUGUUGUACGAGGUGGAGCGGACCCGUACUGGAAAGAGCUUCUCCGUCCGCUCUGUGAAGGCCAUUCAGCAUGGGAAGCCUAUCUUCAUCUGCCAGGCCUCCUUCCAGCUGUCCCAGCAGAGUCCUGUGCAGCACCAGUUCACCAUGCCCACCGUGCCACCCCCUGAGGAGCUGCUGACACAGGAGGAGCUCAUUGAGAAGUUCCUGCAGAAUCCUAACUUGGCAGAGAGAUACAGAAAGCAUCUCAACAGGAUCCAAGCUGAAGAUGUGCCGAUUGAUAUAAAACCUGUGAACCCACCAGAUAUACUCUGCACAGAGCCACAGGAGGCAAAGCAGUUCUUCUGGGUGCGAGCCCGAGGCUACAUAGGAGAGACUGACAUGAAGGUGCACUGCUGUGUGGCCGCCUACAUCUCUGACUAUGCCUUUCUGGGCACGGCCCUACUGCCUCAUCGUCAGCACAACAUCAAAUUCAUGGUGUCCCUCGACCACUCCAUGUGGUUCCACGCGCCCUUCCGAUCUGACCACUGGAUGCUGUACGAGUGCGAGAGCCCCUGGGCUGGUGGGUGCCGAGGGCUGGUGCACGGACGCUUGUGGCGCAGGGAUGGGGUCCUGGCUGUCACCUGCACACAGGAAGGAGUUAUCCGGGUCGAGCAGAACCCAAAUCAGAGUAAACUCUAGCCAAGGAAGCCAGACACAGCAGUUGGACUAAGCUCCGUGUGCUGGCGUUGAAGCCUGCACCAGAAUACCUGUGGCAGAGGCAGGACCCCACGCAGCAGCAGAAGGAGCAGCAGAAGAGAAGCAGCUUAGGCCCACAGGUGGAAGUGUUGGUGCCAGCACUUCAACACUGAGGGGAGGAGAGGGCAGCACCAGGACACUUGGGGCUGGCUGUGCCCUGCAGCACACAGGUCAGAGAAGAAAGUGCUACUGCAACGCUCACAUGGCUUCCUCUUCUCACUUCUGCUGACCUCCUUGUGCCCUUAUGGUAAGCUGCUGCUGCUGCUGCUAGCACCUUGUUCUCCUCUUUGGAGCUGAGCUGGAGAGGGGAGCACAGCAGCCACAAAGAAAGGGAAGAACACGGCCGUCCCCACCUCCUGGUUUGGGAAGUGCAAGGUCUUCCUGCUCGUGGGUGUCUUUGUGCGGUGCCUCAGGGGGAAGUGAAGCUACACAGAUACUGCAGGAACCCCUGUUCUUUCUCCUGUCACGGCUUUAUUAAAGUCCUUUUUAUUUUCUGUUA